CGUGAUCAUGACGGCGACAUGGCUGGCAGAGUUCUGUAAGGGCUGAAAGGCAGUGGUUAACCAGAAUGAAGAUUUCUGGCCAUGAAAGCUUAUAAAAAGGAGAUUUCCAGAGACAAAAUUCAACUCCCAUUCAAGUUCCAUGGGGAUGGCCCAUAAGGCUACAUACUGACUGAAUCAACACAAGGAAAGAGUCCCCUUGACAGGAAUUAUCAAACAGCCAUGCAGCUGACAUAGCUGGAGGGAAGGAGUCAAUCCAACUUUAACAUCCAAGUGGGGAGAAUACUGGACAGUUCAGUCAAGGAUGCUUUUCUUCUCACUGCCACACGGUGUCACUCUUGAGAACUGGUGCCGCCUGGCAGUGCUCAUCCCUCCCAGGACACUGUGGAUCUUUCUGAAGGAGGAGCUCAUUCUCUUCGGCCAAGUCAGCCUAAGGGAAUCCCCAGCUGAGCUCCCAACUUCGCAGCACUUAGCCCUCAUUUUCAGGCCCUACAAGUCACUCUCGUGUUACCAUCUAACCCAAGAAGGCUGUUGAGCCCAACGAUGCCUACCUCCUCCUCCCUUGAUGGCGAUUCCUACCAAGAGCUUUAAAGGGCCCAGAAGAAUUUCAAAACACACCAUAUAACUUGUUUGGUUUUUGCAAGUCACCUAAGUUUGCUGGGAUUGCCUCCUACUACAAAUACAAGAAAGAAAUUGGAGGUAUGUCAUCAGAGGGCCUAGAAAUCCAGAAACGCAAAGACAGAGGCCCGAUCCUCAAGUCAGACCUCCUUGGGGCUUCUGCUCCCAGGACAGCGGUGCCACCUCAGAGCCACACCCAGAGGCCAUGCCAGGCCCCAAAACACUGUGUAGGAACUGGCUCAGCUGCUCUCCACUUCAGGACUCAGAAUCUCACUUUUAUUUUCCGAAGAGCUCGCUCAUUCUCAGAUCUGCCAGUUUUCCCUUUUUAAAGCCUGGAAAACCAUACCCCUUUUCAUGCCAGAUGAAGUUGUUUUCUGUCUUCGCUGCAUGCAGAGGGUCUCAGUACUAGUCCUUGUUGUAGACAAAAGGGCCAGUUGCCCUAUCCCUGCCCUUCUGAACACAGCUAUCUUCUCUGAUGCAAGAUGCCCUUCCCCACCACGUGGGGGCAGCACCUCUCGGUAAAUCCAAGAUGUCUUCCUUGCACCGUCCUUUACAAAGUGAGGAAAAAGAAAACUCAUAAUCUUCAGCAGGGUCAUGAGCUGUAAAGACGAUAAUGAUACCUGAUGCGGCAAACUGUCAGAAGCCACAUUGGUCAUCCACUCUGUUAGGCUUGAGAGGUUAGAAGGGGACGGAGCCAUGUGAUUCCUUUCCCACAACCUCACUACUCACUCCAAGGCCAUGGAAAGUCAGUCUUAGACAGGAGCUUGCCCUUUAUGCAAAUAUUUAUUAGCCAGCAGACAGAAAAAGUGUUAUGCAGACUGUUCUGUAAGCAUGCUUAAGACCCAGCUCUUGUCCUUUCAGGAACUCUUGUCAAACCCUGUCAAGAAAAACUCAUUUUGAAAAAAGGCAACACUAUUCUGACUGCAUUUUGUUGAAACGUCUUGUAGGACUGAGCCAAGUUCUGUGCUGAGUUCUGAGCUGAGUCUCUGUAAGACAAGACUGGAAGGGUUCUAUGCUUAAAGCUCAACUCCGAGGAGCUAGAUUGCUGGAUUGGCUCAUUCAUCACAUGCACUUUGUUCAUACCUGGGGUCUUUUUAGCCAUUUCUUGAACUGUACUCAUUUUCACAAUAAAUACUGGGUUUUUAACAUCAGUGUUAACAAAGUGUCUAAUGCAAACUUACACGGCAUUUUUUGAGUUGCCUCUCAGCCACCAUUAUGAUACGAAUUCAAAAUCAAGGUCCUACAGAUGCUAACUAACCACAGACAGAGUUCAUAUUUUGAUCGAGGAAGUGCAAAUAACUAUGAAUUUCCUUAGUAUGUGGAUAAAAGUUAACUUGCAUACAUUUCUUCACAUGAUUUAAACUAUAGUAGUUUAAAGAAAAAUAUGGGCAAUGGAGUACUUUAUAUCUACAGUUUAGUCUUAUUUUUUUUGCAGGAACCAGAAGCAUAACAUCAUCUAGGAGACAGCCAGUGAUCUAGCAUCUCAGGGUUUACCCCACAAAUGCUGAGUCAAAAUCCCUGUGAGUUGAUUGCUCAGUAAAG